rnacentral:miRNA from 3 species
AGCCCCUGCCCACCGCACACUG